GCACCGUGCCACGGGAGUCCAGUGCGAUGGGCUGAGAGGAGGGGCCGCGCCCCUCGACCGUCCGAACCUGAACCGGGUAAUUCCGGCGCAGGGAGGCGUGAUCAGCUCGAU
rnacentral:ncRNA from 1 species